UACAGAGGUCCCAAGCGUUGUUCGGAUUCACUGGGCGUAAAAGGGUGCGUAGGCGGUCGGGUAAGUCUGAUGUGAAAUCUCACAGCUUAACUGUGAAACUGCAUUGGAUACUAUCCGGCUCGAGGAAUGGAGGGGAGACUGGAAUACUUGGUGUAGCAGUGAAAUGCGUAGAUAUCAAGUGGAACACCAGUGGCGAAGGCGAAGUCUCUGGACAUUAACUGACGCUGAGGAGCGAAAGCAUGGGGAGCGAACAGG
rnacentral:rRNA from 1 species